rnacentral:rRNA from 1 species
AUAAUAAUUUGUCCUUUAAUUUAGGACUAGAAUGAAUGAUUUGACGAAGUUAAAGCUGUCUUGUAAUUAUUAAUUAUUGAAUUUAAUUUUUAAGUUAAAAAGCUUAAAUUUUAUUAAAGGACGAGAAGACCCUAUAGAGUUUAAUAAAUUUAUUUUAUUUAUUAUAAAAAAAAUUUUAUAAAAAUAUUUUAAUUUAUUUUGUUGGGGUGAUAAUUAAAUUUAAUUAACUUUAUAUUAAAAUUUUACAUUUAUUAAUGAUUUUAUGAUCCUAUUUUUUAGAUUAUUAGAUUAAAUUACCUUAGGGAUAACAGCGUUAUUUUUUUUAGAGUUCUUAUUAACAUUAAAAAUUGC